UUGAACGCUGGCGGCAGGCCUAACACAUGCAAGUCGAGCGGAUGAAGGGGGCUUGCUCCUGGAUUCAGCGGCGGACGGGUGAGUAAUGCCUAGGAAUCUGCCUGGUAGUGGGGGAUAACGUCCGGAAACGGGCGCUAAUACCGCAUACGUCCUGAGGGAGAAAGUGGGGGAUCUUCGGACCUCACGCUAUCAGAUGAGCCUAGGUCGGAUUAGCUAGUUGGUGGGGUAAAGGCCUACCAAGGCGACGAUCCGUAACUG
rnacentral:rRNA from 1 species